UGCAACAUAUCUUUACACCACUACCUUUAAUCUUCUUGGUGUGGGAAGAACGUUUUGAAACCUCGGCGUAUGAGACUAUGUUUAAAAAGUGAAUAGUGAAACAAGGUGACGUCUGACAGUACAAGUCUUUUGGUGGGGCAGCUUAUUCCACCAUAACAGCCUCAGAACAAUUGACUCCAUUCAUGGCGUUUAAGACCUACAUUCUUAGGAUGUAUGACUAAUUAUAGCCCCAUAUCUAGUGUUUACCCCCCCCUCCCAAUCCUCAGAACAUUUUAUCUUAUUCCUAUUCUUAUCUUAUUAUAUGUCGACAAUCCAUUUGACUCCUUUCUACGUGCACAGUUUGACAGAUAGUUCUCAACUUACAGCCAAUGUUGACCAGAUACGAAGGUACACGAAUCGCCGUGAUGAGUGACCAAGGCCUGCAUUACUAAACACCUAAUAUAGAUGCUGAUAUCAGUUGAGAUGUAUUUCCUUUUAAACAAAGUCACAAUGUAGUGAAGCAAGUCUCCUAUUUGUAUUGUACAUGAGUACUUAAUGACCAGUUUUGAUUAGUUUAAACUGAUGAUGCAUAGCUAGUGAUUUUUUUUUCUCCAAUACUAGUUAAUUCUUGAUGUUGUAAAGAAAUUGGAUGAAAUUGUGAACAAGGAGAGUUCAUUGGGCAAUUCGCAAUGUAGAUAUGUUAACUUGUAAUUUGGUGUCAAUGCUAUUGAGGGUAGAGUGCAUCUGUGUAUUUUUUUGUGUGCACUCUUUCUUUACCUGAUACUGAAAUAUAAGCUAUUAACUUUCAACGCCAUCAAUAAGUUAUAUUAAUAGCUUAUUUUGUUAAGAGGGGAAUGUGGUGAUUAGGUUUUGUAUAUAAUAUAGUAAACGGUACGUCAAAGAACCUUUGUUGUAAGACUUAAAGAAUUCUAUGUUUAUUUAUUAUUUUACUAUUAUUUCAUUGGUCCAUUGGUUGGGACAGAGUGACAGCGCUUGAAGUUUUUGUUAUUGUUGACAUGGGACCGGAGUUUUGUGAUAGCAUAGUAGUAGGAGCCAUUAUAUAAGGCAGUUCUGAUAGUUAAUGUAUAUUUAGGAAUUCAGCUUUUGUUGGCGUUAUCUAUAGUUAUAAUUUAUUCCUAUUUCUUUAUUAAUUAUUUCUUAUUUCUAAUGCAUCCCUGGUGUUCUUGAAGUAUUGCAUAAAAAAUGGGAAGAACUUACCACAGAAAAACGCAAAGGGGCUCGUAUGGACUACAAAACUUGACAGAAGCUUUAAAAGCAAUCGCUGAUGGGAUGCCACUUAAUACUGUCUCCGAAACAUUCAAAAUCCCAGCGAAAACAUUAUGGCGACAUAGAGACACCAAAGUUCAAAAUCCUGGAUCUCUUGUACUUGGCCGUUAUAGAAGUGACUUUAGUAAAGAUCAGGAGUUGGACCUAGUUGAACUCAUUACUAAAAUGGAGCAAUCCCUCUUUGGACUAAGCACUCUUGAUGUGCGUAAAUUAGCCUACGAAUUUGCUACAAAAUUAGGCAUUAAGCACAGAUUCAACACUGAGGCCAGAAUGGCUGGAAGAUAUUGGCUUUAUGGGUUUUUAACUAGACACCCACGACUGUCAAUAUUCAAACCUCAGUCUUUCUCUAUUUCGAGACUUGUUGGAUUUAACAGACCGCAAGUCAGUGCUUUCUUCACUAUAUAUAUGAAUCUUUUAAACUGCCACAAUUUUACUCCAGACAAAAUCUGGAAUAUGGAUGAAACUGGAAUUUCAACAGUACAGAAACCAGUCAAAAAUUAUUGGCAGCAAAGGAACUCGACAAGUUGGCAGGGUGACAAGUGCAGAGCGUGGUCAGACUGUUACAGUUUUAUGUGCCAUGAAUGCUGCUGGAACAUAUAUUCCUCCAAUAUUCAUAUUUCCAAGGAAAAGAAUGGUGGAUUCCUUGAUGAAUUGCUGUUUCCCUGCAUCUAAAGGAUUGUGCACCCCCAGUGGUUGGACAGACAGUGAGUGUUUUAUAAACUGGCUGAAACAUUUCGCUGCAUUUGUAAAACCAAAACCCAAUGACAAGCACUUAAUUUUGUUAGAUGGCCAUCACAGCCACAAAACUUUGGAAGCAGUCAAUUUUGCAAGAGAAAAUGGUAUAGAACUGCUUACAUUUCCACCCCACUGCACACACAAACUACAACCUUUGGAUAGAACAUUUUUUAAAAGUUUAAAAUCUGCCUCCAAUGCCUCUUCUGAUUCGUGGAUGAGUUGCCACAAAGGGCGCAGGAUUACGAGCUACGAGGUGGUGUCAAUUUUUUCAAAAGCCUAUGUAAAGGUAGCGACAAUAGAAAAGGCCAUGUCGGGGUUCUGUUGCACAGGUUUGUGGCCAGUAGAUGCAGACAUUUUUACAGACUGAGAUUUUGCCCCAUCUAGUUUAACAGAUGAACCACCAUGUGAACUCAUAGGUAAUCAAGAUUGCCAGCCCAAUGAACAGAGAGAUUGCCAGCCCGAUGAACCACUCUGUGAACUCCUUUUUAGUAAUGAAAAUCGCCCGCCUGAUGCAGCAUCUAACUGUGCUCCUACACAACUCACAUCUUAUUCAGACAAAUGCUGUGAAGGUCCCAGUGCGUCUACAUCCAAAACCAUGUUAGAUGAAAUUAUCGGACCAGUUCGGGCAGCUACGCCAAGGGUCAGAAAAAGAGCUGCAGAAAAGGCGACAUUAUUAACUGCCUCGCCUUUCAAAAAGAGACUGGAAGAAAAAAAGAUAGUAAGAAGUAAGGUUGGUGGUGCUGCUUCCCAAACAACAAAAAAGGGGAAAGGAAAGGCAGCAAAGCAAACAGUCCCAGCUGUUACUCCUUGUAGUAGCUGCUUUGAAAACUACUAUGAUGAUACUAGUGGGCAAACUUGGAUACAAUGCCAAAAUUGCCAACUUUGGUACCACAAUAGCUGCCAAGGCUUGGAGGAAAAUUUUGUAGGAUCAUUUUUUUGCAUUGUCUGUGACGAUGAAUAAAUCACUCAAAUUACA